UCCAGUCCUUCAUUUGUUAACAAAUCAAACACCUAUUAGGUAUUUGCAACUGCAAGAAACAUGUUAUGCAUAUACCAGAUUGAUAAAUCAGACAAAAGAAAGAGAUGAUGAGCCUGAAAAAACUGACCUAAGACAAGAAAGCAACAAAAUAACCAUACUUAUGCUACCAACAUUGAUACAAGCUUAUAAACAAUUUAACAAAAUAUCAGAUGCAAAGAGUGAUGUCAGGUCUAGAACUUUGAUCAUGUAACCUACAAAUCCAAUAUAGAUAGUAAGAAACAACCGAACAAAUACCGCCUGGUAGUGGUGGCAUGCAAUUUACUAGGGACUACAGGAAGCAACAAAAUAAAACAUACUUAUGCUACUAACAUUGAUACAAGCAUAUAAACAAUUUAACAAAAUAUCAGAUGCAAAGAGUGAUGUCAGGUCUAGAACUUUGAUCAUGAAAACUACAAAUCCAAUAUAGAUAGUAAGAAACAACCGAACAAAUACCGCCUGAUAGCGGUGGCAUGCAAUUUACUAGGAACUACAGGACCAGUGUAUGUUUAUUUAUGAGUUGGAAUGCCGGUGAAUAGGUAUCCCCAAAAGAAAAGUAAAAAACCUCAAUUGCCUUCGGUAACAGCAAGAUUAAACCUCACAUAGUUUGUUUUCAGGUCAAGAAUGAAAGUAUGUCCAUCUCAACCAUCCUUUGAGAGAAUUUAGACAAUCACAAAGGGAAAAAACCACUUCUUUCUUUAAAUUUGCUUCUGGUUUACCUAAAUAAGAGUCAUUAUGCACCUUAAACCGUACACAUAACCUGUGAGGAAAAUAAUAUCACGUGUAACCUUCACUUUAGCGCACACAUAUAUUUCCAGGGUACUAGGUACAGCUUGGUGUUAUAAAAGAUAGAGAGGAAAAAAAAACUGAGUCUAUUGCUCACAUCCUAACUUAAAAGUGUUUAAUUGGAUCAAAUGCAAUGUAACACAUGAAACAUUAAGAGCAUUCUAUUAUCUGUACAAAGUGCACUUGAAAGCAUAGUUAGCCUUAUUGUAUAUCACUAAAACCAAUUCUACACUUUACAGGGGAUUAAGCUUACUGAUACGAUGAAACCCUAAAUAUACUAGCAUUUUGAGGUUUGAA
rnacentral:lncRNA from 1 species